GUUGUUCACAUGGACACCCUCUCCUUGCAGCUUCUUCCUUUCCCUUCUCUACAGCUUCCAAAUUAUUUCUUUCCUCACCUACCUUUUCAUUUGCUUUUCUAUUACUUUUGUGAAAAUUAUUAUUAUUAUAUUCUUCCAAAUUUUUUCCUUUUCUUUUUCCCAUCUUUUCCCAUCAACUCUGCAGCAGAAUGAACCUAUCAGUUUUGCUUGCAACUAUAGAUUUGGUUCAAUCGAUGCAAACCACUUUUUUCUUCAAUAUCUAUCCUAAAACUAUACCAACAUUCAACUCUUUCAUUCCACAUAUUCUUCUUCUUCUUCUUCUUCUUCUUCUUCUUCCUCCCUCCCUGUUCUUUCUCUUUCUCUAUUGUUAGGUGUGAUUUUUUCUUCCUUCUCUUUCUUUCGUCUGUGAUUCAAUGUUUGAGAAGAUGAUGACCAUCUUGUGGUGGUAAUGAUGUUGGGAGCUACGGUUAUGGAAGAUUUGUCGGUGUUUGUUGUAUAGGACGAUGACAACUAUUUUCUUAUGAUGUUGUUGAUAUGUGUAGAUAAUUUACAAUUCCUCCUUAGCCAAGUCCUGUAAAAACAAGUUGGCCCGAGCUGGUUGGUGUGACAAUAGAUGAAGCUGAGAAGAAGAUAAAGGAAGAUAUGUCUGAGGCUUAAAUUCAAGUGGCGCCUCCUAAUACACUUGUUACUCUUGAUUGUAGAUUCCAGAUAUAUUAGAGAGUUUGAUUACUUGUGGAUGAAUCUAAUAAGGUCAUUGAGACUCAAACCAUUGGCUAAUAUUCCAUCAACACAAGUGAGAGGAGAUAUAGUUAUGAAGCUUGUGAUGUUGUUUGAAUAAUAAAUUUAAUUUCUUUUCUA